UCCUGUGGGAGACCAGUGAGAGAGUAGCAGAUGAGAUCCUCUACUCAGCCUUCCUCAGAGGGAUGUAUUCCAGACGUCUGCCUGCCCGCUGCUAUGCUGACUUCUGCCACCAGGAGGUGCUAUACCUGGACAGAGUCAUCCCCAUGCUGCGGGUAAAAAGAAAAUACAUGAAAUUAAACCAAUACCACAAAGAUUUUCUCCAGAGAACACAUCAACGCUACCAGGAGUCUCUGAAGGAGGCCCAGAACCAAACUCCACCACACCUGGUAAGAAGCUCUUAUAACAAUCACCUUUUAAAUGUAUACUUUAAUAUACAAUUUAUUAGGAAAAACAACUAGAACGUAGUAGGUGAUUUAUCAAUUCAGUAAACCUUCCAUAAAGGUGUUCAAUGACCUCUAUUUGACCUUUUUUUUGUUUUGGUUAAAUUCAAGUUCAAUUUCGGUUUCCCGGGUUACCCAGGUUACCCAGGUUACCCAAGUUUUGGUGUAUUUAGACACGCCCCCAAAACAGAAAUCUCUUCUUUCUUUUCUGACUUCCUUUAGUUCGUUCACUUCAUAGUAUUUUAGUAUUACAAUAAUAUUCCCUUUAGCUCAGAGUGACUUAGUAAGUACAUGUAAUUUUCAGACUUCUUUU
rnacentral:lncRNA from 1 species